rnacentral:rRNA from 1 species
UACGGAGGGGACUAGCGUUGUUCGGAAUUACUGGGCGUAAAGCGCACGUAGGCGGAUUUGUAAGUCAGGGGUGAAAUCCCGGGGCUCAACCUCGGAACUGCCUUUGAUACUGCAAAUCUCGAGUCCGGAAGAGGUGAGUGGAAUUCCUAGUGUAGAGGUGAAAUUCGUAGAUAUUAGGAAGAACACCAGUGGCGAAGGCGGCUCACUGGACUGGUAUUGACGCUGAGGUGCGAAAGCGUGGGGAGCAAACAGGG